GCUAUAAAGUUUAUGAAAACAACUAGUCUUGUAAUCUAGAAAAGAAAGUUAAAUUCUUUCUUAUAGCU
rnacentral:tRNA from 1 species